rnacentral:rRNA from 1 species
UACGUAGGGGGCUAGCGUUGUCCGGAAUCAUUGGGCGUAAAGCGCGCGUAGGCGGCCCGGUAAGUCCGCUGUGAAAGUCAAAGGCUCAACCUUUGAAUGUCAGCGGAUACUGCCGGGCUAGAGUCCGGAAGAGGAGAGUGGAAUUCCUGGUGUAGCGGUGAAAUGCGCAGAUAUCAGGAGGAACACCGGUGGCGAAGGCGGGUCUCUGGGCCGAUACUGACGUGGAGGAGCGAAAGCGUGGGGAGCGAACAGG